AUUCUUACCUGGACGGGGGUUAACAUCAAGGCCCAUGGCUUAGGUUAGUGACCUCCACUGCACUUAGGAGAAGUGCUCACCUAAGGUCUCCCAAAAGUGGGAGAGCGUACGUCAUAAUUUGUGGUAGUGGGGGCCUUCGUCCGCGCGGCCCCGUC